GAGUAAGUAUUUUUUUUUUUAACCCAUUUAAAAGUAGGGGUGGCCUCUCGGCUUAGCAGGCAGUAACACAUAUUGAAAUGAUGGUGUGGAAUAGAAACCCUAAGAAAUCCCAAUCCCAUGUAUGCUUUUUGUCUACAAAUGCUUACUAGAUGGUCUUUGAAAUUUUAUUGGGAAAUUCUGAACUCGGAAGAAGUAGUGUUGUUACUGUAGAAGCAGUACCCACUGACACAAUGAAAGAACGAGAGACAUUAGUGGUCAAAGAAAACCCCACCACCUAUAAUUUCUGUCUACUGUGUCUGCAGCAGUAAGUAUGCUUCUCUUCUCUUCUCCUUUCUUGUAUUAAUUGAGAGAGAGAGAGAAGAGUGAGCUCUGUUAUCCAAUAAUCUAUCUAGUGCUUUGCCAGAUUUGUAGCUUUCGUUAUUUUCUCUUCUCUGACUCUCACGAGGAGAGGACAGUGACAUUUCAAUUUCUCUCCCUCUUCUCUUCCGUGAUUUGUGCACUUCUUUUCUAUUACUUUUCAUUUUUAUUUUUCUCUUCUUCACUUUUUUCUAUUUUAUUUUAUUUUUUACUUUUCUUUUUCAUGUAACGCAACUGUUGGUCGUUGUUGAAGCAUCAGACUUAGGGCUUUUGAAGAUUUACAGCUGUGUAAAUCAAAAUAUUGUUCAAGACUAAACCCUAGUUACUAGAAUUAAAUCGGUAAGUGAACCCCAAGUUUUUAUGGGGAUUACUCAUUCUUUCGUUAUUUAUACUUCUAAUAACUCAGUAAGUUGUUUUUUUUUUUGGUCAUUUUAACAAGAUUAAUCUGUUCUGCUGCACGCUAUCUGUUGUUUUGAUCUCUCAUAACGAUGGCAAGAAAUUGUUGAUGCAUGAUUAAUUUUCUUGGUUUUGUUAUUAUUAUUAAUCUUAUUUUGAUUGUUUGCUUGAUCUAAUUUUGAAUGAGUGGCAUUCCUUCAUCUAGCUUCUACCCCUCGGGCUUAGUGGGUUCUCUGCUCUCCUCUCUUUACGAAAUUGCGAGUUGUCUAAUCAUCUUUCUCUUGUCAUUUCUGUAUUAGGGUUUGGUGCAAGCAUUUCCUUUCUUUGGAAACUUUUUUUAUUUUUCAAAUUAUUACCUUCUUUGGAAACUUAUUCCUUCUCUUCUUAAAUUAAUGUUUCAAAGUUUUGGUAUACGUUUCCUUUUAAAAUUUGCAGCAGAACUUAAAUCGACUCCUAUCUUUUAGACUUAAUUUUUCUGGUGGUUGUUUUCCUAUUGACUUAGAUCUAGUAAUUCAUGUAUUUUAUAAUAGGCUAUGUUAAGAAAAUAUGCAUCAAUGUGAGUAUUAGAAUAUCUUCUUCAUAUUGAUGACCCAUUUCAUCCUUUAAUUUUCUCAAAAAUUAAAUCCAUUUGAAAUUGAUGAAAAACUAAUAGCUUAUAGAUCUUUCAAGUGCACUUAAAUAAAUAAUUUAAGAGAGCUUUCUUCAGUCCACUCAUGGAUGAGGCAAGGGUUUGGAUUAGCUGCCGACUCAUUCAUUCAAACACAGUAGAAAGAGGAGCAUUUUGGUUAUCCUAUUGUGAAUGUGUGAAUGAAGCGGGAGAUAAUAUUCAUCCUUUCUUUUCUGUGCUUGGACUGAAGGGAGCUCCUUUUUGUUAUCUGUUUACGGUUUCUUUUUUCAAUUGUUGCAUCUAAUCACCAAUUAAAAGACAACUUGGCCGGGAGAUUUCUUUAGCCUUGAUUCGGUACGGUUUCUAAUUAAAAGCUGUUUAAAUUACCAAUUUGUUUAUGUAAUUAAUUUGAUGAGUUAAGUGUCUAGCCCUCCAUUUGAUAUAAACUUUCUAGUCUUGUGCUUACCUUUAAAUUGUUGUUGUAAUGAUCACAUUCUUCUUUGAUUUUACUCAAUUUGAAUAAAUCUUUUUCUCCCUUAUUUUAGUUGCAUGCCACUGGGCUAGGGCACUUUAUCAGUGACUGUUAAAUGAAAAUCUUAUUGUUGCUGAUGAAUUGCAAUUAAGCUAGAGCCUUCAGCAAUGGGAGAUCCUUUUCUCCAUCAAUUAUUUUUUGUUUUGUUAUUAAGAUUUCAAGUUUCAUUCUGUGCACACGAUGAGUACCGAAAAAUUUGCUCUUCUCAUCCUUAUUUUUCUUGAAUAUUUUAUUGUUAAUCAGUCUUUUCCUUACAAUUUACUUGCUUGAUAAUGCAGGCCGGCAUAUCUUUCUCUUCCAUCGGUUCAUUAAUUUGAGUGAAAAAGGAUAUUUCCUCUGUAUGAAUCAUAUAUAAUAUAAUUUGCAUUUGCAUGUGCAACUUGUUAAAUUUUAGAUGAAAUUUGGCAACCACAUAAGGAUAAUGAUAUUCCCUUGUCUUUUUAUCUUCAUCAGUGUCUCCUUUGCCUGCAGUCUCUCUUGAUAGGGUACAUGGUAGAAUUAUUUUGGUGUUGACAUUUCAUACAACAAAAAUAUUGAUAUUCACUGGUUCAAUCUUUCAUUGGAGUUCUUUCUUCCUUCCAAAAAAAUAUGAAGUUGGGGUAGUUUUUUAAGCUAUGUUCUGCAUAUCUCUGAAUAUUACUAUAAAUAUAAGAAUUUAAAUUUUCAAUAUAAAUCCUAAAUUAUAAUAUAUUUAUAGAUUAUAACCAUUAAGGGAAAGAAAGGAAUUAAAAAAAGCCACCCCAUUCAAAUUUAUAAGCUAGAUGUUCAACAUCAAUUGAUAAGAAAUUAUUAUAAGCAAAUUAAAACUGGAAGUCACCAGCAUCUGGAUAUCAUAUGUAUCUAUGUAUCUAUGUACUUACACACACACACAUUAUCUUUCGAUGUUGGCAUGCCAACGUUUCAAUUUCAAAGUAGCACCUGAAAUCUUAAAUCAUAUUCAUGCAUGAUGUGUGUGUGUGUGUGUGUCUAACUCCCUCUAAAUAUGGGCUGUACAAAGGUUGAAUUAUACUUUUGAAAGAGCUUCCUCAGUUAGGGGUAAAAAUGUGUACAUAAAGCAGAUCAGCAGGGAGCACAGUCGCUCGUCUUUAUUCCUUUGGUCAGGAUCAGCCACAGGCAUCCCAUUCGCAUGCAUUCAGAAAAAAAAUAAUAAUAAUAAUAAUUACAUGCUGCCGCAGUUGCCCCCACCGCCAGUCCCAGUCUCUAUGAAUUGAAUUGGGUUGGAACUUGGACCUAUUUUUUUUUUUUUUCCUUUGUGGGUUUGUUGGCAUUCGUGAUUACACCCUAUAUCUCUCUCUCUAUAUAUAUUUUAAAUUUUUUAUUAAGAUAUAUUGAAUAAAAUAUGCUAACCCUAGAAUUAGGGUUAUUCUGCAGCUUAGUGUUAUCGGAUUAUAUGAUUAAUUAAUACCUUAUUAGGGUACGGAUUAAUCAUAAUUAAGUAGUCACAUUGGAUUUCAUCACUUCUUUUCUUGAGCUAAACUCAAAAAUAACACUUUGAUAUGCAUAUAAAGUAAUAAAAUAUCAAUUAAAUUGAGUCUUGAAAUCACACAUAAAAUUAAAAUAAGCCAGUUCCUUGCUGCGCCUUUCGAGAUUGAAAGUACGCUUGAACUUCAUUUAAAAAAAAAAGGGAAGUUUCAGAGUAAUGGUAAGUGUGCAAAUAAAGGCCAGUGCGAGCCAUUAUUAGGAUCGUAGCCUGCAUUUGAGAGAAAUAAAUUUGAGAAAGAGAAUACCUUCAUGAAUUUAAAAAUUUUUUAUUUCAUGAAGUUGCAAUUAUUCAUUGAUCGAGUAGAAUUCAACUUUAAAAAUUUAUUUGGAAAAUUUUUAGUUUACUCCCUUCAGGUUUACCGUAUUUCUACUUUGAUAGAAUAUGCAAGCGUACGUAUUGUUAGAAACCCCCCAUACUGUUGAUAUUCGGUUAUUUAAAUCAUUAAUUGAUCGAAUAAUUAACUAAAAAGCACUUGUAUCAUAAAAACAAAAUCUCAAUGAGAUGAGCGGUGCAAUAGGUCGUUCAGUCGUUGUGAUGAGCAGGGUAAUAGGUCGUUGUGAUGAUAAAAGAUCUCACUCUCUUUUUUUCCUCAUUUUCUUUUGGACAAAACCAAUAUAUCAUGAUCAUUCUUAUCAUGUGGUAACAUAUUUUUACCAUUUGCAAUAAACUGCAACAAUCACAGACAUCAUUUCUAAAUUUGCAAAAAGGCAUUGAAAACGAAAGAUAGAUUUGUCACAUUGUACUGCAUUACAAUGUAUUGCAUUAAAUUAUAAUACAAUGCAAUGUUUGAUGUGCUAUGGACUAUAUACAUAUAAUAUUGUAAUAUUAUUUUGUAUUAGUAUUAAAAUUAAAUUAGUAUUUUUUAAAUUUAUUAAUGUUUUAGUGUUAUA
rnacentral:lncRNA from 1 species